UUGUAGAGCCAAGUAUUUCACCUGACAGAGCAGUACAACUUGCAGAAUGGCUUAAAAAUAAUAUGUGGCCAGCUAACCAAGUUGCAGAUUACAUGAAAGAAACAGCCAUCCACAGGGCUCAGUGGAUAAGAGCUAACGGGACAAAAUCUAUCGAGGAAAUAACUUGUGAAUUCCCUCGACUCCUUGAUACGCCAGGCAUGAUUUCACAAGACUUCUCUGUAUUAUUCCCCGACCACGCAGAGAGACUUUUCCAAACUUGGAAAAUGAGUUUCAAAGACAAAAUCCUUUGCUUUGCCAGCCAGGAGAAAAAGGCGCAGGAGCUUCUCCAGAAUUUAGACAGUUUGUCUCCAGAAGUCCAAAGUGACGUUGCACUCAGGCUGCUUCCUGUAAUACUGCCCACCCCUGUCUACAAAAAAGGGAUGAAAAUGUUCAAACCAAGCUUGGAAGAAAAUAUCAAGUCUUUCAUUGAAUUCAAGCAUGUAAGUAAUUUUGUAUUGCACACAUCACGUGCAAACCAUACUAAGAGCAAAUUAAAAUGG